CAGGCUGCAGCGUUGGCCAGGGCGGCGGGCUGUGUGCGCUGCUAUGCUGCUGUGCGCAGGGCGGCGAGGCACAGAGGCCACUGUUCCCAGGCGGUGCCUGCGGGCGCCAUUGACGGUGACUCAGUGCGUGCUGGGUUUGUCCACAUUUUCUGCAUUUUUAGGCAGUGACUCCGUGUGCUUGGUGGCUGUUUUCAGCUCUGACCCCCUACGGGGAAUGUGCUGGCCUCAGGCGCUGGCCCCGGCAAACCAGCAUGGGGGAGCUGCUCCUGAGGAGACACCAGCUCCCUGCCGCUGCCUCCAUCCACCCAGCUGCCCAGGCCAGGCCAUUCUGGGCAGGUAGCAGUGCCCCGACACGGGGGAAUCUGGGGCGGAGUGGCAGCCCAGCAGGGCUUGUACCCGGCAGGCAUGGAGCCGAGGACGCCUCUGGCACUGUGACUCUACUAUUUUAGCAUUUACUCAGCCCUGCUCUGCCUCUGCGCUGCACCACUGAUCUCCACCCGGUUGGUGUUCAUGGCGGGAGGCGCCACCUCUACCUCUGCUGUCCGAGUUUCUGCCUCCUGACACUGCACACAGGAUGUCCUCAAGCACUGAGUUGCCCCGGCUGGAUUUGAACUUGUGAUCCUCUUGCCUCAGUUUCCCACGAAGCCGUGAUCACAAGUGCGUGCUGCACACGGUGCCAAAGUAUUGCCUUGUAAGUGCUGGCGGCGAGCUCGAAGUCUCUGUGCCAUGAGGCUUGUUGGGUCCUCUUAAAAGACCAAUCCCACCAUUUGUAAAAGCAUUAACCACAGAUGCCCACAGCCCCACGAACAAACCUCAAACUAUUCCGUGGAGCAACAGAUGUCUCACCCCAAAGAGGACACGCCAGGCCAAAGCCCCAUCAGCCCCGGGUCACCUCCUGUUCCCGGACGACUCUCCUCUGAGGCUGCAGCCAGUGGUCCCAGCCUGCCCUGCUGGCUCCCACCAGGUUCAAGACCCACAGAGUGGCCCUGUUGACACAUUAGGACCCAGGAAGCCCCUGGCCAGGGCCCUAGUCUCCCAUGGUGAGUCUGUGUGUCCCCUGGGCUCUGUUGGUCACGCACACGGAAGGGGUGCAGCUGUGAUGCCAAAGCCCCAGGCCCUACCCCUCGGUCUACUCUGUGGGUGUGGGGGAGUUUACCGGGCCCAGAAUCCAAGCUCUGUCCUGUGUCUACCCCAGGGCCAGUGAUCUAGAUGGUGUCAGCAGGGUCUAACGUGACCUUUCUGCUCAUAACCAGCUGCUUUCCCUGCCGGGUGCCCCUCAACUUUGGGCACCUUCGACUUAGUUCGCAGUCUGCGUGGCCCUUUUGGGGCACUGUGGCUGGAUUGCUGCGCUGUGUCAUUUGCCUGUGUCUGGUGGGCACGGCUGACCUCUAUGUUGCGUCCCUUCCGUUCAUCCCCAGCUGCUCAGCAAGGAGCCAUGUGGUUUCCUAAAGGGGUCCAGAGGUGCCAAUCCGAAGGCAGAUUCAGAGACUCUGUGUUGCGCCCCAAGCCUUCCCCGUGGGCGUGGCCCCUGGGGUGGUGGAGGAUCCCGCGUCUCGGAGGCUCCUGCUGCGCCUUGGUCCUGGUUCCUGGCUGCUCACAGUGGUGCAGAGGAGCAGGACCAACUGGCGGCUUCCUCUUGGGAGUGUCCUGGGGCUUCCCUGUCACAGUCGUGGCAUUGUGCAGUGACAGUCAC